UAAUACGUGAUGUAAAAUAAUUAAUUGAAAACCCAUGAUAGAAUAUAUCGAGCUUUUUAACACUGAAAUUAC